rfam:Flavobacterium sp. LM5 Flavobacterium_sp_LM5_contig1, whole genome shotgun sequence.
ACUUUACCGCAAUAACGAUAGGAGCGGCAGCUUUUGCAAAACUUCCAUUUAAGGUUUUGCAAAACUAUAGCGGAUAGCGUGGUGCCUU